UACGUAGGGUGCAAGCGUUAAUCGGAAUUACUGGGCGUAAAGCGUGCGCAGGCGGUUAUGUAAGACAGAUGUGAAAUGCCCGGGCUUAACCUGGGAACUGCAUUUGUGACUGCAUGGCUAGAGUUUGGCAGAGGGGGGUAGAAUUCCACGUGUAGCAGUGAAAUGCGUAGAUAUGUGGAGGAACACCGGUGGCGAAGGCGGGUCUCUGGGCAGUAACUGACGCUGAGGAGCGAAAGCGUGGGGAGCGAACAGG
rnacentral:rRNA from 1 species